ensembl:lncRNA LINC01544 long intergenic non-protein coding RNA 1544
GCGAAGGAGAACAAUAAGAGGCAGGUAAAGCUGGAGCCCGUAACAGGAGGAAACGUGAGCAUUGAAAACCCGCCCUUUGGAUGAACUGACCACAGCUGGACAACACCAGUGCCAGGCCAGGGUUCCAAGCACUGCAGAGAUGAAGCACCUUCUUCCAGGAGUUCCUGGAGUUCUCAGAAGCCAGAGUGGACUUGUUCCUCCGUUUUAUUUGAUGAGCCUUCAACACUCCAUAUGACGCCUUCAAUAGGAAGGGAGGAAGAUAAAUAACAUGGAAACAGAGAGAAUCACCUGGACCAAUUUUGGUAUUAAAAAACCUGGAAAAAGCAUUACAUGUUUGUCUUUAAUUUUUCUGCCCUCAGAGUGAAUCUUGGUCAUCGUUACAGAACUGUAGAGCUCCAAGAUGAUACCUUUUAUUUCUAAGGAUCCUGCAUGCAGUGUGAGAAGCUGGCUGACGUUGCUAGCUCCACUUCAAAGGUAAAGAAACUGAGUCAGGCAGAGAGAGCACCAGAUCUGUCUGAGCUCAGUGGAGGCGAACAAUCAGAGACUCGACUGAAUAACAGCCUCAGAAAAAGGAUGCAGUUUAGUCUUCCAGCUACGGGCUAAGGUGUCUUAUUUUUUCUAGAGUAAUAAAAAUCAGAAUUUUAAAGUAUAUUCCCUUACUUACCCUGGAGGGCUCAAGAACUCUUUCUUCUUGCUUUUUAUGACUCCGAUUUUACCUGUAGAAGUAAGUGGCACUAUAAAUCCCAAACAGCUUCCUACCUGCUGUUCUUCCCUAGUGAGGCUUGAAGUGAUUACUAGAUAUGGUUUCAGGCUCUGCAAAAUGAUAGGAAACUUAGGGAGUUUGCUUUCUUCUCAGAUUUACCAGGAAGAGAGGGUAAUUUAAAUGGCAUUUCAUUAUCUCAAAAGAGAUGACAAUAAAUAUAUUCUUCUGUUACUGAGAACAGACAAGUAAUUUCUAUUCUUGGAGAUCUUUCCAUGGGAAUUAGAGUAAAACUUCCAAGUUCAAACAUGUUGCCUUUCCUUAUUAGAAAAUCUUGUACUAAAUUGUCACUCUUUAAAACCAGUCACAGUUGAAACUCAUCUCUUCCUUAACAAUGGGUGGAGGUAGAGAGGAGAGGAAUUCAGAACCCUACAGACCCUAAUGCCCAUGAAACCCCCCUCAUGCUUGACCACUUUAGAGGCUGUCUCCCCACUACCAGAUGGGAAGAAACUGGUUGACAAUCUGCAAGUUGUCUUAAAGAGGACAGCACCUGCUCCAGGCCCCAAGUUAUUAAGAAGUACACGUUAAACCAGAAUCUCAUUACGGCUGUCAGAAUUAUAAUGAUUGACAGCUGGAAAAUCUUAUCAUGCAUUUCCGCAGGAUUGCAGCAAAGCUUUGAUUAGCAUUUAGGCAUUCACAUUUGCAGAAGCAGCAUUUUUAUUUGCUCUUAAAUAAUUUUUUAUAACACUCAGACCCAGCACUGAAAUGCUAUAGUGUACUGAUGAGGAGGCUGGUGCCACACAAAACCAAGAUGGGCUUUGUUUUGUUUCUCCUCAAUAUUAUCCUGGCUAGCAUGACCCUGGUUUCCCAUCUCUUGGAUAAAGAAGGAGCUGAACAGAAGUUAUUCAGCUUGUGAUUUGCGCCAGGAGAUGACACAGACUUGCUCUUGACCUCUAAAAAGCACUUCCAAAUUCUCAAGUGUAAUAGAAAUGAACAGCACAGAGGAUGGUUUUAAGAUAAAUAAAUCAAAGUGCCAUCUUAAUUUACAACCAAGAAGGGGCAUGUCUAUACAUUAGACUAAAUAAAACCCCAUGGUUACAAGAAAAUUAGCAUAUGGCCAGUAAAGGUAUUUUCAUAUAAUCUCGGCUUAAUAUUUAAAGUCAUUGGUAACUAAUGGUGAAAAAUGAGAUUUUUUUUCCCCAAAACUACUCCUACUGGCAGAGAAUAUGGUACUAUUGUAUCAUAAAGGCUAUGAGCUCCACUUAUUGCCAUAGUUUUUGGAAAUAGUAAUUGUGUUGGUUUUUAGCUAUUGCUUCCCAGAUCCAAAUCCACUAUUCCAUACUGUGCUUUAUGAUUCUGGCAUUGGGAUGCCAUAAAUGUCAUUUCUCCUUUUUCUAUGCUGCUAACUGAUAUAGAGAGUUUUAUUUUCCUGAUGCCUAUUGC